UUCCAUAACAUAUUCACAAUCUAUUUACCGAUAUAAUGUGAGUAAAUCAGGUAUAUUUAUCUUCCCUAGACUAUCAAUAAAGAGAAAAUCAAAAUGCCAAAAUCAGAAGAUGAAGAAGGACUUACAGAAUUCACAGAUUUUACCAGUCUGCCUCCCAGCAUGGAUGGCAUCUAAGCUUGCAAGGAUCCAUCAGUGCAUCAGACAUGUCUGUGAUGACAUGGCUAAUAUGAGACAGGCCAUGACGAAGUAACUACAAACAAGAGUGACAGACUGCACUAAAUGGCAGGAAGAAAAAAAAUGCUCAAUGGAAACCUCUAGAGAUGAAAGUUGGCAUCACCUAGGGAAUUGGGAAAGAAAUCUGAGUUUCCUAAGCAUUUCUAUCAGCAUGGUGCAGCACUUUGAGGAUGACCCAGUGCUGCUCAAACUUGAAUGAUUGCAUGCGGUGAGUUCUUUGCGAUCUGGCUUGUGCAGGAGACUUGUGUGAGAAAGAAAUCAUGGUAAGUCCUGUGGGGUAUCAGUACCUCACCUUGAAAUGCAAAUAAACUCAGGAAGCUACACUUAGUGUCUGAACACAUUUUUCAGCCCUGACGUCUUAUCUGAUAAAGGUCAAUGGUUUUCGAAGACUUCAUCAUCCCUGAGUUUCACUCCUGCACUCCAUCUCUGUGUUUCCUUGUGGAACUCUUGACGUGCUGUGGGAUGCUCUAUGGUGCCAAAUGGCAUCCACUGAACCUUUUCCAGCCAGCUUGAAAGUUCCAUUUUCUUUUCUUAAGCAGAAAAGAACUUAAACAAAACACGUUGUUGCUUUUGCUCCUGGGAAUGCCAUCCCUAUUUAAACUGCCUAUGGUCUGCUGGCUUUGUUUGAGGUCUGCAGGUUUUCUGAUUGGCUUUCCUACACCUGUCUGCACUUGGAAGUUCUUCUACAAACAUUGAGGUUUAGGGUUAGAGUACCUGAAAUUGUGAAAAAAAAAAAAAAGAAUUUGCGCUUUUCUUUUCUUCAGUUAUGUUCAUUGCUUUUUAAAGGGAUUUCAGGAAGAGGAAAAACAGAGCUGUAAAUAUUCUAUACUUUAAUAUCUUAAUCCUAAAGAACCAUCAUAUGUGUAAUGAACCCUAACUAAUACAAAGAGUCAAAAAGGCUGAGGGUGAGAUCCUGAGCUAUUUGUAGCUUGAAAAAACUGCUAACACAAAGGUAUUUAUGGUGUAGAACAGAGACCAGAAAUAAAAUCAGUUUUAGCCUUUUUUAGGAUGUGUGUUCUGCUUAGCGAGAGUAAUUUACAUAUAAGAAAAUCUUCCAGAUAUUAACUUUAAAGAGCUCAGAUCUCUUAACUUUUCACAAUUCUUCUGUAUCUCUAUUUCUCAUAAUGGCCACUUACUUUUAUUGCAACAUCAGAAACUCAUCAAACACAAAUCUACCUAAAUCAGUGGUUCUCAAAGUUUAAAAGCCUCGAUGAUUGUCUGCCCAGUUUCCAAUGAAUAGAUUUGGAUGGUCCAUGAGAAUUUGCUUUUUUGGUGAUGUUUAUGUUUUAGAAUUCCUGGAUUAUACAAUUAGGAAAUUUAUUGCCAUGUAGAAAAGACGGUAGGAAGUCUUUUCUUCUCAAGAAUAUAAGCAGCUGGUUGUACUACUGAGGGGACAGUACCCAUGAAGAGUCAGGGACAAAAGAGUCAGGAACAAAAUGAAAUCAAAUUUUCCUUGCAUCUCUGAGUGAAUUGAGCUGUUGCAAUGGCUCAACUGGCUAAUCCUCUGCCCGUGAGCACUAACAUCCCAGACAGGCUCCAGUUCCUCUCCUGGCUGCUCCUCUUCCCAUCCAGCUCC